rnacentral:rRNA from 1 species
UACGUAGGUGGCAAGCGUUGUCCGGAAUUAUUGGGCGUAAAGCGCGCGCAGGCGGCCUCUUAAGUCUGAUGUGAAAGCCCCCCGGCUCAACCGGGGAGGGCCAUUGGAAACUGGGAGGCUUGAGUAUAGGAGAGAAGAGUGGAAUUCCACGUGUAGCGGUGAAAUGCGUAGAGAUGUGGAGGAACACCAGUGGCGAAGGCGACUCUUUGGCCUAUAACUGACGCUGAGGCGCGAAAAGCGUGGGGAGCAAACAGG